rnacentral:piRNA from 1 species
AGGAGUUCGGGGCCAUAGUAUGCGAU